AUUUUCUUCAAAACUGUUAAAUGUCUUUAACAUUUAAGUCCUAAAUACAUCUGAACUGGUCCAAUAAUCCAAAUGAAUCAAAUAUCUAAGAAAAACUGUAACAAAGGAAGAGACAAAUCUAUAGAGAGUACAUUAUAAAACAUUCUUGAGGGAGAAUCAAUAUGAACCUAAAUUAAUAGAAAACUAUUUAUGGAGGGAAAGACAGUAUGUAAAGAAGCAAAUUAUCUUCAAUUCAUCUGUAAAUUUACUGCAAUCUCAAUAAAAAGUCAAGUAGAAGCUUUUUUGUUGAAAUUGAUAAGCCAAUAAUAAAUUGUAAAUAUUCAAAGAUCUAAUGAUAGCUAAUGCAAUAUUGAAGAUAAACUGAAAUUUUGGAGAAUCAAGACUUAUUUGAGGAUUGCAGUAAUGAAGACAGUGAUUAAUUGUGCAAGAAUAGACAAACCAUCCAAGAAAACAAAAUAGAGAGCUGAAAAGCAGACCCAGGCUUAUAUUGAUCAGUGAUAUAGGUGGCAUAACAGGAGGGUGACAAAAAGACAGUUAUUUCCAUAAAUUGUACUUCAUCAAUUGUAUAUCUGAGAGAGAGAGAAAGAGAGAGAAAUUGUUUUUAUUCAUAGUAUAAUAUAUAAUUGCUUCUAUUCAUAGAGAGAAAGACAGAGAGAUAACUGUUUCUAUUCAUAGUAUAAGCAUCUUAAUUUCAGGUGGUUUUUAGAUUUUUAUGUGAAAGUUAAAAAUAGUAAAUCCUAAGAGAGGAUAAUAUAGAGGACGUUUUCACCACAUGGGGUAUAUAAAGAUUAAUAAAACUGGACACAAAGUCUCUGAUUAUAAAAAAAAUUGACAAAUAUUUUGACUGUAAGAGAUUAUAUUAAUAAAUACACAAUACAAUUUUAAGAGAAAUGAAAUGAGAAAUGAAAAGAGCAGCAGUAGAGUGGGAUGUCAAAGUACAUAUGACUGACAAAAAAUUACAAAAUCAAGACUAAAAUGGCAUACCACUAGAGCAGCUAUAAAUACAAAGAGUAAAAAUGCUCUUCUGUUUGGAGGACGUGAAGCAUGUUCUUGGGCACUGAUUACGUGAGUAGGUAGCUUUUCCUGAUUAUAUCCUCUGCAGAGUUUUCAUAGUGUAUCAUGUCUAGAUCACAACUGGAAAGAUCUAUGGCAAAUUCAUCAUCUGUCAAUGAGCGCAACCAAUAUUUGUUACAAUUUUACCAUGUUUAAUUGUGAAAGAGUUCUUAGAGCAUCAAAACACAUAUCCAGAAAUACUAUCCUCAAGUACCAGGCAAUAUUUAUUUUUUUUCAGUUACUUUUCUGCCCUAUAUUUAUCACUAAGCUCAUAUGAACUUUUAAUUUUUUAAAAAAACCUUUAGGUGUCUGUUUUACUCAUUCCAGAGAGAAGGAACUUAUUGGCACAUGACUGAUUUAUUAAAUACACUCAAUAAAAGUUGGCAUUUUUACAGUCAGCAAGCUCAAUAAAGUUCACAAAUAAAUCUUCUAUAGUUCUCAUAUUUACAUAUUUCUCAUAUUACUCUUUACCUAGGUAUCUAUCAACUUUGAAAGAUCCAAAAAUAGAACAUGAGGGCCAUAAUUGUCUGGAAAUGAGGAGAGGGUAUAUUUCUUUGUGAGAAUUUUUUGUGUAAAUGAGUAAGUUAAGAUGAUAUUAUAAAACCAAUUAUUAUAAAAUUCCUGAGGAUAUCCUCUAUAGCAUGUACUUUGGCAUUGAUUAUCUAUAUGAGUAGGUAGCUUUUCCUGAUUACAUCCUUUAUAAAGUUUUCAUAGCAUAUCAUAGCUAUGAAAAUAUUUUUCAGAAAAAGAUAAACCACACAGGAAUAAAUGAUAAAGUGAAUGAUAACUUUUCAGUUAAAAAAAGAACUAAAUGUACAAUGAAAUUUGGGACUAAAUAAAUGGCACUUCUGCACAAUUCAGAUCUUUUUCCCCCUUAUGCUGAGCCUACUUUGUUGUUUUGCAUAACCUACAACAUGUAGACAUCUCAGUUAGAGACCUCUAUCCCAUACCCUUUUUCCCCAAAAGUUCUUUCCUUUCAUCAGUGAUGGCUGAGUCGAUUCUUAGACUAGUUCCAAUGUAUUCCCUUGAUGUAAUCAUCAGAUCUGUCUCCCCUCAGCACCUUGUUUGGGGAUGCUUCUCAUUCUCUAUGCCUAGGUACAAUUUCAAAUCCAGAGUUGGAGCUGUCAUCUUCAUAAAUUCUCCUUAGAUUAUAGGAGUUCACAAAAUCUUGUCAUUUCUGUGUACUCUUCUCGGUCUUAAGAAAUGUUUCUCCUGGAAUAACCUGUGGUCACCCUCUGAUAGGUAUGUUCUGUUAUUAUGUUUUUGUGUAAAUUUUGUCAAGCUAAUGUAACUGUGAUUUUAUUUCACAUGAUCUAUAGGGCCUUACACAAACCUGAACCUAAUAAAGACAUGUGGG
rnacentral:lncRNA from 10 species